GGGGCUGAUCGGUUUCGACGUCGAGACCGGAAGGCGUUCGUGCGACCGGAGUUGCUCAGACUCCUUAAACGGGGCACUCAAAGAACCGGCAACACUGACGCUGAGUUCGCUCUCGCCGCCUGAUCCCAUCAGGUAGCGGAGAGUCAUAGCGACCAGCAAUGGCACGCGGGGCCGGUCCACCGCAGCCCGGCAACAGAAGCGGUGGAGGACAGGAGGGAGAGACCCCUGACGGCGAGAAAGACCGCUGACCCCGGGGAAAGCCCCGGCGGUGGGCUCUAGGGCCAGCCGACCCGGCGGUGUGGUAGCCGCAAGGCCACAAACCGGGAAUGGUCGUAGCGCGUGCGUUGACCGCUCGGCGGACGAGGGUUCGAUUCCCUCCAGCUCCACUC
rnacentral:tmRNA from 1 species